rnacentral:rRNA from 1 species
UACGAAGGGGGCUAGCGUUGCUCGGAAUGACUGGGCGUAAAGGGCGCGUAGGCGGCUUGCACAGUCAGGCGUGAAAUUCCUGGGCUCAACCUGGGGACUGCGCUUGAGACGUGUGGGCUUGAGUGGGGAAGAGGGUCGUGGAAGUUACCCGGUGUAGCGGUGAAAUGCGCAGAAUAUCGGGAGGAAGCACCGGUGGCGAAGGCGGUUCGUCUGGGCCUGUACUGACGCUGAGGAGCGAAGACGUGGGGAGCAAACAGG